rnacentral:rRNA from 1 species
AGUGAACGCUGGCGGUAGGCCUAACACAUGCAAGUCGAACGGCAGCACAGUAAGAGCUUGCUCUUACGGGUGGCGAGUGGCGGACGGGUGAGGAAUACAUCGGAAUCUUCUUUUUUGUGGGGGAUAACGUAGGGAAACUUACGCUAAUACCGCAUACGACCUACGGGUGAAAGCAGGGGAUCUUCGGACCUUGCGCGAAUGAAUUCGCCGAUGUCGGAUUAGCUCGUUGGCGGGGUAAAUGCCCACCAAGGCGACGAUCCGUAGCUGGUCUUAGAGGAGGAUCAGUUACACGGGAACUGGGACACGGUCCAGACUCCUAAGGGAGGGAGCAGUGGGGAAUAUUAGACAAUGGGCGGAAGCCCGAUCCAGCCAGACCGCGUGGGUGAAGAAGGCCUUCGGGUUGUAAAGCCCUUUUGUUGGGAAAGAAAAGCAGCAGGUUAAUACCCCGCUGUUCUGACGGUACCCAAAGAAUAAGCACCGGCUAACUUCGUG